rnacentral:rRNA from 1 species
CACGGGGGGAGCAAGCGUUGUUCGGAAUCACUGGGCGUAAAGGGCGUGUAGGCGGUCAAGUAAGUGAGAUGUGAAAUGCCCCGGCUCACCCGGGGACCGGCAUCUCAUACUGCUUGGCUUGAGUACGGGAGAGGAUGUGGGAAUUCCUGGUGUAGCGGUGAAAUGCGUAGAUAUCAGGAGGAACACCGGUGGCGAAGGCGCACAUCUGGCCCGAUACUGACGCUGAGGCGCGAAAGCUAGGGGAGCAAACGGG